AGUGAACGCUGGCGGUAGGCCUAACACAUGCAAGUCGAACGGCAGCACAGUAAGAGCUUGCUCUUACGGGUGGCGAGUGGCGGACGAGUGAGGAAUACAUCGGAAUCUACUUUUUCGUGGGGGAUAACGUAGGGAAACUUACGCUAAUACCGCAUACGACCUACGGGUGAAAGCAGGGGAUCUUCGGACCUUGCGCGAUUGAAUGAGCCGAUGUCGGAUUAGCUAGUUGGCGGGGUAAAGGCCCACCAAGGCGACGAUCCGUAGCUGGUCUGAGAGGAUGAUCAGCCACACUGGAACUGAGACACGGUCCAGACUCCUACGGGAGGCAGCAGUGGGGAAUAUUGGACAAUGGGCGCAAGCCUGAUCCAGCCAUACCGCGUGGGUGAAGAAGGCCUUCGGGUUGUAAAGCCCUUUUGUUGGGAAAGAAAGGCAGCAGGUUAAUACCCCGCUGUUCUGACGGUACCCAAAGAAUAAGCACCGGCUAACUUCGUG
rnacentral:rRNA from 1 species